GACGAACGCUGGCGGCGUGCUUAACACAUGCAAGUCGAACGGAAAGGCCCUGCUUUUGUGGGGUGCUCGAGUGGCGAAAGGGUGAGUAACACGUGAGUAACCUGCCCUUGACUUUGGGAUAACUUCAGGAAACUGGGGCUAAUACCGGAUAGGAGCUCCUGCUGCAUGGUGGGGGUUGGAAAGUUUCGGCGGUUGGGGAUGGGCUCGCGGCUUAUCAGCUUGUUGGUGGGGUAGUGGCUUACCAAGGCUUUGACGGGUAGCCGGCCUGAGAGGGUGACCGGCCACAUUGGGACUGAGAUACGGCCCAGACUCCUACGGGAGGCAGCAGUGCGGAAUAUUGCACAAUGGGCGGAAGCCUGAUGCAGCAACGCCGCGUGCGGGAUGACGGCCUUCGGGUUGUAAACCGCUUUCGCCUGUGACGAAGCGUGAGUGACGGUAAUGGGUAAAGAAGCACCGGCUAACUACGUG
rnacentral:rRNA from 1 species